CUACGGGCGGCAGCAGUGAGGAAUUUUGCGCAAUGGGGGAAACCCUGACGCAGUAACGCCGCGUGAGUGAAGAAGGCUUUCGGGUCGUAAAGCUCUGUCAGAUAGGAAAAAAGUUCAUAUGUAAAUAGCUUAUGAAUCUGAUGGUACUAUCAGAGGAAGCACCGGCUAACUCCGUGCCAGCAGCCGCGGUAAUACGGAGGGUGCAAGCGUUGUUCGGAAUUACUGGGCGUAAAGGGCGUGUAGGCGGUAUGGUAAGUCAGAUGUGAAAGCCCUGGGCUUAACUCAGGAAGUGCAUUUGAUACUGCCAUCCUUGAGUAUGGGAGAGGAGAGUAGAAUUCCCAGUGUAGAGGUGAAAUUCGUAGAUAUUGGGAGGAAUACCCGUGGCGAAGGCGACUCUCUGGACCAAUACUGACGCUGAGACGCGAAAGCGUGGGGAGCAAACAGGAUUAGAUACCCGGGUAGUC
rnacentral:rRNA from 1 species